rnacentral:rRNA from 1 species
CCUACGGGUGGCAGCAGUGAGGAAUAUUGGUCAAUGGACGAGAGUCUGAACCAGCCAAGUAGCGUGAAGGAUGACUGCCCUAUGGGUUGUAAACUUCUUUUAUAAAGGAAUAAAACGAGCCACGUGUGCCUUUUUGCAUGUACUUUAUGAAUAAGGAUCGGCUAACUCCGUGCCAGCCGCCGCGGUAAUACGGAGGAUCCGAGCGUUAUCCGGAUUUAUUGGGUUUAAAGGGAGCCUAGAGGGGUUGUUAAGUCAGGUGUGAAAGUUUGCGGCUCAACCAUAAAAUUGCAGUUGAUACUGGCAGGCUUGAGUACAGGUGAGGUAGGCGGAAUUCGUGGUGUAGCGGUGAAAUGCUUAGAUAUCACGAAGAACCCCGAUUGCGAAGGCAGCUUACUAAACUGUGACUGACACUGAUGCUCGAAAGUGUGGGUAUCAAACAGGAUUAGAUACCCUGGUAGUC